rnacentral:lncRNA from 12 species
CUGAUCUCCAAGAGAGGAACUAGCCAUAUAUCAGAUGAGGAGGUGUUGACCAGACAGGCUGAAAUGAAGGCUAGAUUGAACUACGCUCUGCUGUCUCCUUGCCCUUCUGGGACUUUCUCAGCCUCCACAUUCUGAUCUGGAAAACAAAAGAGAGACAGGUAUAGAAUCAGGAGCUCAAUAUUUCUUGCAGAGGAGAGUUAUGCCAAUUUCCAGGGUGAGAAGAACCAGGCCCUGGGUUCCUACGUAUCACUCACACCAGACUGGGAAAUUGCAAUCUGGUUGUGUUCAUCAGGUAGAGGAGGAAAUCUGCAAAGACCGAAGGACCGGAAAAAUGAAAGAUGCCAAAGAGAGAAGCCUUGGGGAGCCUUGGGCACUGACCUCCUGGAUCUGAGUCACCUCUGUAGGAGAGCUGCCCCAGUGAGCUUCCUGACCAGGAAGAUAUGCAAUGGCCUUCAUGUGAACAGAAAACAAAACAAAACGAUUUCUACUGGAUUGAGCUUUAAAGCCUUUGGAGGACCCAACCUCAGAUGGCCACCGACGGGCCACCGGUGCCUCUGUGUUGUCACCCAUCAGUCACCGAGGAAGCCCAGCACUGAACUAGUGGAGCUGACAACUACAUCUCCUUCCACCAGUACAUUUAAUUCAGAAGAAAGGAAGUUCGAGUCCCUUGACCACUCCUUUUUCAUUGGUGUUCUGAAAUUUCCAUCCAAUUGCUGUUUGAAAAAGAAUUAA